CUACUACAAAUGAAAUUGUCAUUAAAAAUUUAUUCUCAUGGAAGAAAGUACCUUUGGUACUCAUAGAUAAUAGACAAAUUAUUCAUUCUUUUCCUUAAAGACUCAAGCGAAGUUAUGCCUGAAAGUUUGUUUACCUCUGUGCUCACACAAAUACCUUUCAACAAAACAAGAAGAUUGAUGGAAAACUCUACAAAAAGUUCACCACAGGAUUUACAGAGUCAUCUCCAAGAUAAAACCUAUACUAGUUGGGACAUCUAACGUAUGCUCUUCUUCAGAGUCGUUGAAAGAAUGAUGCAGUACCCUGUUUUCUGCCACAUCAGGAUAUACACAAGUCAUCACAAUUGUUAAAGAUCAAUGAGAAUCCUCUGAGGCUGCCUGACUGAAAUAAUGGAUGUUGCACUCCAAUUUAUAUAACUAAUAUGACUUUAUUAGUUGAAAUCUUGAAGCUGUGAAAGUGGCAACACACAGCCAGCAAGGAUUGGGGCAGUAUUUCUGGCAACAGUAAUUGAAGUACCCUCCAUGGAAACUAGGAUCCUAUCACAUCAAUGUGAGCCAGUCAGUAGACUUUUGACAGAAACCAAAGAGCAAAUGAAGGGCCAGUGGAUGGAAAAUGACUAAAUACUGAGGAAGGCUGGCUGAAGAAGGAUCAGUGUGAUAAGAUGCCAUCUUGAAAACAGGAGGAAUGAGAAACAUACUCAGAUAUGCAGAUAACAGUAGAGCCAGUGACUGACUGGAGCUCUGAGGAAGAAUGGGUCAAAGAUGGCGCCAGAGAGGUAUGAAAUCACCUAGAAAGGAGGAAAGAUGAGAAACACUCAGAUAUGCAGACAGGUGGAUUCAUGCUUAUAGAUAAAUGGUUCCAAUUAAAAAAGAAUUAUGUGUGAAAUGUACAUAUACCAUUAAUAGAAGGUUCUGCACCCUGAAAGAAAUUUGAUUGGGAAAGAACUGUAUUUUUAAAGCAUUUAAGUGUUCUGUUGUUACUGCUGUUCUUGUUUAUUCUGUGAUUGUUUUCCCAUUCAUAGAUGUAGCUCUAAAGCUUUGUACAUGUUUAAAAAAUGCUCUAUGUGUGUGUCAAUCCAAUAAUUCAAGUUUCUUUUCCAGAAAGAUCUUCCCUUUUCAAACAGAUCUCUUCUUCCCAAUAAACAACCCUAGUAUUUUUUAUGAAUUCUACCAUCAAAUAUGAAUUUUGCCUAAAAUGAUGAAUGUACUCUGAUUCUCAGCAUCACAAAUCCAAAUGUCAGACUUCUUGAAAAUUUCCUUUAAUGGGAAUUUGUGAUCUUGGUGGGGAGGUAGGCUGAAAUCUGUGGCCGGUCUUAAGAGCCAGGGAAAUUCUGGAGACCUGGGAAAAGAGGAAUGUCCUAGUCCUCAAAACGUGCGGUAACACACAUUUUGUAAAAUGUUCUGUAUUUCAUUCUAAUAUUUGUCUUAAUAAUGUGUCAUUCUUUUUUGUUCCUUUAAGCAAUUCCCUCCCAGAGCCAAAUAUUGUACAGCACAGUUAUAGAAUCUAUUGACAUCUGAUGAAUAAGGGUCACUCUAAUUUUGCCUCAAGAAAUUAAUUUUGUUCAGUCUUUGGAAACAACAAUGGUUUUCACUGAAGCAUACUGAAGUAUGAAUAAAUUUUCCAACCCAAGAACACUAUCUAGAAUGGUGAAUAUUCCCAGUUAGUCACCAACUGAAACGUCUUCAUGUUCCAUGAGAUAGUAUUUAGAGAGUCAUCCCAAAGACAAAACGUAUACUACUUGGGACAUCUAAAGUAUGCUCUUCUUCAGAAUCACUGAAAGAAUGAUGCAGUACCCUGUUUUCUGCCACAUCAUAUUACACACGAGUCAUCACAUUUGUUAAAGAUCAAUGAGAAUCCUCUGAGGCUGCCUGAGAGAAAUAAUGAAUGUCAGUGACUGACCAGACCUCUGAGGAAGAAUGGCUCAAGAAGGAGCAGAGUGGAAUAAAAUCAUCUUGAAAGGAGGAAAGAUAAGGAACACUCUGAUAUACAGACAGUUUUAGAGUCUCUGUAGCCUGGCAACCAUGUACGCAUAUGUGAUUGGAGGGUUAUGCUGGCUUACUAGCACAGACUGGGGACGGCGGCGAUGUGAUUACAUAUGUCGUGCAGCAGGGACUGCUCAGAGAAGAGGCAGCCAAAGAUUCCUGUCAAAACCACCCUAGGACUGGUCAGCAAGACAAUGCACCAAACAAGGAAGUAUGAAUAAAUUUUCCAAUCCAUGAACACGAUUUAGAAGGGUGAAUAUUCCCAGUUAGUCACCAACUGAAACGUCUUCAUGUUCAAUGAGAUAGAAUUUAGAGAGUCAUCUCAAAGACAAAACCUAUACUACUUGGGACAUCUAAAGUAUGCUCUUCUUCAGAGUCAUUGAAAGAAUGAUGCAGUACCCUGUUUUCUACGACAUCAUAUUAUACACAAGUCAUCACAAUUGUUAAAGAUCAAUGAGAAUCCUCUGAGGCUGCCUGAGACACAUAAUGGAUGAUGAGAAAUGUUUUGCUUUGCAUUCCAAUUUAUAUAACUAAUAGGACUUUAUUAGUUGAAGUCUUGAAGCUGUGAAAGUGGCAACACACAGCCAGCAAUGAUGGGGCAGUAUUUCUGGCAACAGCGAUCGAAGGUGAGGAGGUAUGCUGAGAUCUGUCUUAAUUGUAAGAGCCAGGAGCAUUAUGGAUAUAAGGAAAAGACCAUAUAACACUCCUCAUAACAUAAAGUGACACAAAUUCUGUAGGAAUGACUAUUUUGAAGAAUGGAUUUAGAACUGCAUUAUUUCCAAAAAGAUGAUUUCUAGACAAUACCGAGAAAUCCUUUUCUUUUCGGUACCCUCAACAAUAACUAAGAUACAAUUGCGGAUUGUUGCUCCAAUCAGUAGAUCUACUAAAGGAAGAAGUAUGAAUAAAUUUUCCAAUCCAUGAACACUAUCUAGAAGUAGUGAAUAUUCCAGUUAGUCACCAACUUGACUUCUUCAAGUUCAAUUAGAUAGACUAUUUUGAAGAAUGGAUUUAGAACUGCAUUAAUUCCAAAAAGAUGCUUUCUAUACAAGACAGAGGAAUUCUUUUCUUUUCGGUUCCCUGAACAAUAACUAUGAUACAAUUGGGGAUUGUUGCUCCAAUCAGUAGAUCUGCUAAAGAAAAUUACACUGAGCCCUAGAAGCAGGCAAGGAAAUGGCACCAUCUCUCACAGUGGUCAUUGUACCGCAAUCCACGUAAUGUUACUUGUGGCUCUGACAUGUCAUCUUGGAGAUCUUGUGCAAGAAGGAGGAAAGAACCCAGAUGCCCUUCAACAGAGGAAUGG
rnacentral:sRNA from 1 species